GCCUUGGUGGUCUAGUAGUAUGAUUCACCCUUAGGGUGGGUGAGGUCCCGGGUUCAAUUCCCGGCUAGGGCC
rnacentral:tRNA from 1 species